rnacentral:tRNA from 1 species
GCUGUGAUAGUUUAUUUAAAAUUUUUAUUUUACACGUAAAAGAUAGUGUGUAUUGCUUCAUGGUA